rnacentral:rRNA from 1 species
GAUGAACGCUGGUGGCGUGCCUAACACAUGCAAGUCGAGCGAUUCUCUUCGUAGAAGAGUGGCGGACUGGUGAGUAACGCGUGGGUAACCUGCCCUGUACACACUGAUAACAUACCGAAAUGUAUGCUAAUACGCUAUAACAUGCUUUUAUCGCUUGGUAGAAGUAUCAAAGCUUUUGCGGUACAGGAUGGACCCGCGUCUGAUUAGCUAGUUGGUGAGGUAACGGCUCACCAAGGCGACGAUCAGUAGCCGACCUGAGAGGGUGAUCGGCCACAUUGGAACUGAGACACGGUCCAAACUCCUACGGGAGGCAGCAGUGGGGAAUAUUGCACAAUGGGCGAAAGCCUGAUGCAGCAACGCCGCGUGAGCGAUGAAGGCCUUCGGGUCGUAAAGCUCUGUCCUCAAGGAAGAUAAUGACGGUACUUGAGGAGGAAGCCCCGGCUAACUACGUG